ensembl:lncRNA
UUCAUUGGUUCAUUGAGUUAACGCUUUGUGAAACCACUUCUUUCAUUGGUUCAUUGAGUUAACGCUUUGUGAAACCACUUCUUUCAUUGGUUCAUUGAGUUAACGCUUUGUGAGACCACUUCUUUCAUUGGUUCAUUGAGUUAACGCUUUGUAAUACCACUUCUUUCACUGGUUCAUUGGCACAUUUAUAUGCUGUUACAUGGCUGCAAAUGAAUAAAUGUACAACAAGAAUUCAAAAAUAUUUAAUUUUAAUAUGUGUGAGUGGCUUCACAAACACAAUGUCGUCAGCUGUAUGUAAUGGAUGUUAAUUUAGUAUAUUAUGCUGUUUAUGUCUGUUACUGCUAUUGCACCUACAUGAGUAGGGCUGGAGUAAGAACACUAAAAGCCCUGGGGCUACGCCUACUCAAAGGGCCGCCUCAAAAUGAUCACUAUCAAUAUUUUCAGGCCACCUAGGAAAUGUACCAGAUUUAAUUAAAUCUUUAAUUAAACAAAUGUUUCAUCCUGACUAUCCCACCCUUAACACAACACAACAAAUGCACACUUUGUGGAAGAGCAGCUCCUCAUGGACCACUUAGCUACAUCAAUUGUGAGCAACAACGUGAUGCUAAUUAGAAUGGCAAUAAUUUAACCCUCAGUAAUCCUAUUAAUCGUUGAGUACACUGCAAUAUAAAGGAAACUGUGUAGGUAAGAUUAAUUAGUGAACUAUUUGGUUUGAACCAAACCUGAGAAGGGUAAAAUCAAGGCUAAAUGUACAGAAGCCAAGGGAACAACCAUCACAUUAUGAAGGCAACAUGAUACUGCAACACAAACUAAAUGCUAAAACACAGACACAAACAUGUUGGUACGGUAGCCUAGGCUAUGCCAUGCAAUUCAGCUACACAAUUCCAAAAAUCUAGAUGAAAGAAAAAGUGAAAUCAGUCCAAUCAGCAUCUUCUUAUCAACUUAUAGCUACAGUCCUGGGUAGCAGACUAGUAGAAGCCUACUUUUAAUUAAACAAGGGCUGGUCGUCUAAAGCAGUGUGCUCAGCUAAAGCCUUUGUGAUCUUCAGUGCUGUCGUUAGGCAGAAUCUCUUUUCUCUGCAGGACAGGUAGCAGCAUUAUUGCCGGUAGCUUUGGUAAAGUUGGCUUUUAAGAUGUUUAAGUUGCUUGUAUUAAAACUGUCAGACUUUGUACAUCCUCUAAAUAAACUCUGUCUGCC